CAGCCGAAGCGCGAAGAGAUUUUUGCGGUUGUUAUGAUUGGAUCUCGCCAAUAUGUCGUUUUCCCUGGUCGGUAUAUCCAUACUCAGAGGUUGAAAGGUGCAAAUGUGAAUGAUAAGCGACAAAGUGGUCUAACGAUGGAAAUGCUGCAGUCUAGUGAUGCGAGGCCAAACUUUCAAGUCAAGAUAUUUGUUUCUUCACAGAAAUAUCACAUUUUGUCAACUCUUAGCUUCAGGGUAAUCAAAAUUUCAGUUCUAUGCUAUAAUACAAAUAUGAUAAAGAUUUGAAUUUCUCUAGAAAAAAUAAAGAUUUGAAUAAAAAUGGUAUUCUAAUUCCAAAUUUCCAAACUAAUUCUGU